rnacentral:lncRNA from 1 species
GGGGGCUAUAUGUAUUAGCAGUCCAGGUAUAUUUAUUAAGUUCGUGUAGACAACUAUCAAAUCGAGGUGCCAUCUUUCCAAAGGACUAACGUACCCUAUAAAUUUACUUAAUUUACAUGUUGAUCUGAAAGAAAAGUAAUUAGGUCUAUGAUUUUGAAAACAUCUAAGAACUAUAAAUCAAAGACAAUGUCAGUCCGACUACCCGUUUCUACAUUACCAUUGUCUACCACUUUCAAUUUAGAUGGCGCUAAGAAUGCAAAACUACUUAAACUACGGCUUUUACCGACGGUGCACGGACUGUCAAGCAUCAAAUUAUAUCAGAUAAAAUGCGGCCAUUUUUCACAGUUCUUUAGCUUGCACAGACUUCUUUUUACUUCUGCCGGAAAACUAACUUUCGUUAAUCAAAUUUUGUGAAAAAUCUUAACAAAAUAUUUCGCACAAAAUUUUUCCACUUGUUUAGUUCAGUGUGUUGUGUGCCAGCUUUGAUUAAUUUUCAUUUGGGUGUUAUGACACGGGGGAUACAGGAAAAUUUCUAAAAAAAGCAGUGUAUAAUAUUGUUGUAAAGGAACUGAGAUGUAAACAGUAAAAACUUUGAAUCGAAUAUAGACAUUGGGGACAUUGCAUUUGCAUAAAUAUUUAUUGCAAUAAAUGUUUUUUUGUGAAAAGUGCAAAUGUAAACCACAAAAGUGAGAAAUUGAUUCUAAGAAGAAGCUGUUGUGUUAAAUCUGUGGACAGCAAAAGGCACAGAUUGCCUGGUUUUUUAACAGGCCAACAUGUUUAUAACCAAUAUGUUUAAUAUUUGGGUUUAGAUUGUUAAGCCUUAAAAGCCUCUGUAAUAAAAAAUUCUAUACUUGUGAAAAUUAUUGUACUCCACAUUCAAGCCCAAUUCAAGCAGGGGCCUUCAAACCAGAUGCCAUACCUUUUGUUAAUCUCCCAGGCUAGACAUUGGAUUCCAAAAUAAAUGGCUCAAUAUGGAGCAGAAUUCAUCUUGUGUCUGUAUACUUUUUGACAGCCUCAAUGUCAAAACUUACUUAAUGCGAAACCUGAGAGAAGAGUAAUUUCAGCAGUUUUAAUCCAUGAGCAAUUUUGGAUCUUAUACAAAUCUUGGAGUCUAAAAUUUUUGAAGGUAAUUCACUCCUGUAAAUUUUACUUUUGACAUAUUUACUUAUUCCCUUUUUAAUUACUAAUUUGUUGGUAGUUAUUUAAUGUAGAAUAUUUAGUAAGGAACACUACUAGUGAAUUGAGCAGGGGUAAUUCCUUGGUAAUUUUAUAUGUUUUUAUAUUAUUUUUAUAUUAUGGACGUCUUGCAUGUCUUAGCAUAAUGGGUUCUAUGCGGACGGCGCCAACGAGAGCGCUUGAGACUCUGCUGAGCCUUCCGCCUCUGGACCUCUUUGUGCAAUUCGAGGCAAUGAGGUCACGCAAAAAUUUGGUCACGGGCCAUACAGGAAUGUCCUCUCCUUCUGAUGGGCAGUGACUGCAUGGCUGCAGUGACUGUGCACUGCGAGGGAUUCGUGACGCACAUUGCAGGCAGAGAGGAGUGGCAGCAUUCCAACAGACCUGCAUUGCUAAAUAGGGGGACCAUCUGGUACACAGACGGCUCCAGAAUGAAUAACAGAGCUGGAUCAGGGCUUUGUGGUGGGAUCCCACAUACCAGUAGGGCAUAGUUGCUGGAGGAGCACGCUACUGUCUUCCAGGCCGAAGACAGAAAAUUUCAAGCUGCGGACACCGUAAUACAUAGUCGUAUCAAUAUGCUCGGACAGCAGAGCUGCCAUUAAGGCUAUUACGGCCGCAAAGUUACAGGUACUGGUACAGGUUGGCUGCAGGGUUCAGCUCGUCUGGAUACCUGGCCACACAGGCCAUGCAGGUAAUGAGGAAGCGGACUCUCUUGCCAGAUUGGGAUUCGCGAAUGUGCCGAUAGGGCCGGAAUCCAUAGUUGGUAUCGCCAAAUGCGUUGCGGUCGCGUCAAUGAAGGGUCUGCUGGACAAGUGUACCGAGUGACUUUAAGUCCUUCAGACCAGAGAGCCUUAUCGGUUUCUCUAAGGCCGUUGGGCUCUGGCGGGGCAUGACGGGAACCUAGACCGAGACCUAUAUGCACAACUGCCUUAGCAGCCCACUGUUUCGACAAUUCAAUUUAAAAAAAACAAAGUCCCUAAGUUUAUACAUUAAGAAAUUUGGAAGAAUUUUUAUUUUUUAUUUAAUGUUUUAACAAGGGUGUACAACUGUUAAUAUUUAUUGCAUAACUUAUUUUUUGCUAUAAUUUCCCCUUAUAAUAUAGUAGUACAUUC